UGGCCAAGGAAAGGCUGCACCCGGCGAGGGAAAAUGUUUGAGGGCUGUGCUUACUUCAUCCAUAUUGCAGGACCCCAAUGAGGUGCUGGUCAUAUACCUACUGGACAGUUUAUAAGAGGGGAAUCGAGGCUUGGCACUUACAUUUAACAGAAACAUUGGUGCCAGAAGAAAGGACAGGCUCCUGCAAUUUCUUCAGGUUUGUCACUUCUGACAGGAAGGACUUGAAAACUUUGAGAAUGUAUAAAUCUUGGUUAAAACAAACAAACAAAAAAAGAAGAAAGGGACUACACUUUUACAAAGAGAUUUUGUGGCAUGACCUACUCCCCCUGCUCUCCUGCUGCUUUGUUAAUUAGUUUUGCUUCUACCCAGCACGGAUGAUAAUGAGAGCCUCUUUCUUUUGUUUGGUUUUCCUUUCUCCUUUUCUCUCUUUUUUUCAGUGGGACAGCAACACAUGGCACAAAGAGGAGGGAUAUGAGAGAGGAACAUGGCUGUCUUGGUGGGGAUGGCAAUGGCAUGCAGCGAGGGCAGCCUCUGAAGCUCUGUCUCCUCUGGCCCAGCCACCCAGCCCUGCAUGCCAUUUGUUCAUUACCCAGAAAUGUUUCAACAGCUUGUGCUGAAUUUAUUUACUGGCAGGUGUUCCAGGGAGGCGGACAUGGCAUUUAUCAGGUUCUAGUUAGAAAACUCUGUUCCUUUUGACAGUAAAUUGAAGAGCCACUACUCUAUUAGGAAAAAGGUAUUAUGUACAGAGCACAUAUUAAUAAUUGUAUCUCUGUCUACAGUGACUUAGUGUGAAAUACUCAAGCUUCCACCUCAAUUGUUAAUUCAUUAUGCUGUUUGGUUUUGAGCAUACCACAGGAUUAAAAGCAGCUUCAAGAGAUCUCCUAAUGCAAUGUAAGUGCAGCUAUUCACACUGAAGCCCAAGGUGAAAAAGAAUGCUCCUGAGCACAUCCAUCAGCCUUUGCACUGCCUGGCAUUGCUGUCCUUGUCUGAGUGAUGGCUACUCCUUUCCCAUGGUUUUCUCCCCAGCGUCACGGGUUGGAGGAUGUUCUGCUCCCAGGAGGGGUUUUGCCCUCCUACUGACAGAUGCUGCCAGUGCCUUUCUCUGACCCAAACCUACUUCCUAUCUGCUUUGUAUUCCAGUUCAUUCAUCAUUGCUAGAGUCUCUAAAUGUUGUCUGGCUGUCCAUCACAAGACAUUUGGGGCAUCUGUUACGAUAAGAUUCAUUUGAGUCAUCUGUAUACAUUAUUAUUCUUCCCUGAUUGCAGGCUAAAGUAACCCUGGUUGUAGGGUCUCUGUUCUUUUCAAACUGGCUUGCCUAUCUUGGCAUUUCUUGCUGCAUCUGCUUGCUUGCGUGCUUUGAAAGAUGCUGCCCCUCUUCAUACCUUCUGAUGGAUCCUGGAAAACAUCUAUUGAGAAUAUACAGUUGACCACUGCAGUGCUCUCAGGUUCUAAAAGUCUGUUCUGGUGCAUAGCUCAUCUCUUCAUCAAGGUAAAGGGUUAAAUGGAAAAAUCUUUCUCUUCUUUCGUAAGCCCUCACUUUAUUGCCACCAGAAUUUGGAUUCUUACAUGAACUGUGAUUUUUCAAUCUUAUGUUUUUUAGUGUUAAGCUAAACCAAUUCUACUUGCUUCCUGAACUGACCCUUGGGACACCACUGAGUGAGCCCUGUGCACAGUUCUUGAAAGUGUUUGUGCACCCUGCAAGUUACAUGUUCUUCAGGGUUGUUUCCCUUUCCUUCCUCAGAUUCAGCAGAAGUUUCCAAGAGAUUAAAUCACAGUACACUGGGGAGGGAAAAGGUGCAGGAAGACUCUAUUUCCAGCCCAGGUACUGUUACCAAGAUGACAAAAGUGGGUAAUUGCACUCCAAAGAUGUGACAAGGAUAUGAGCUGACCCUGGGCAGCCCAUGAGAGCCAUUUUAGUCAGGGACACCAAAUCUUGGCCACUGACUGGGUUGCCCAGUUGUUCCCUAGAAGUAACAGAGAGUAACACCAAAGUGCCUUGGAUCUGUCACCAAGUCCUCCUUGUUCCAGCUGCAGCAAGAAAGACGUGUUUGCCCAGCUUCUCCCAGGUCUGCCACAGUGAAAUGGCUCUGGGAGCCUCUGCUUAAACCACAUUCCCCAUUCCACUAUGUGGCAGGUUUGAUUCAUGUGCAUAAGCAGUGACAGCAAGGGAUGGACGAACCCAUAUAAUCUGUGAUUUGUAGGAAAAAGCUUUGGAUUUCCUUUUUUUUAAAGAGGGGUGGAACAGUCUGUUUGGGGCUAAAUCACUCCAGCACUGGUUUGACUUAGCUGACAACUGGCUCUUGCAAAUGUUGCCAAAUGUCAGCAAGCAGAAAUUAUUUUAUGGGGCAUUUAGAUUUAGUACAUGUUAGAAUUUGGAAGAGGCAUCUUGAUAUCCAGUGAUCCCAAAUAUUUCAAUAACUAUGUAUUUUGUUUUGGAUAUGGAGAGUGAGGUUCUCCUCUGCCUGCAGGGCAGAGUCAAUCCUGUGCCAUUUUUACCCAUUGAGGAGCAGCAGGAACAUCUUCGCUUCCAUCGCAUGGAGAGUGACUGCAUUUCACAUUUUAGAGAAGAGAUGCAGGCUGUGACAACAGAACUGAAAGAAGGAGCUGGGAAUAAAAGGCAAGCGCCUCUCA
ensembl:lncRNA